UGUGUGUGUGUGUGUGUGUGUGUGUGUACUAUCCCUAGUAUUUCUAUUGUACUGUUUACUGUAUUGUAUUUCUGGCAAUCACGAAUACAGUACUCUGUAUUGUGAACAUGCCCAUGAAUGUACACUGUCCCACCUAAAUAAAUAUUUUACUAAACUAAACUAAACUAAAAAAUCUGCCAAAGACUGGAAAAUGUUUUUCUCCUGACACCAAAUAAUUAUUAUUAGAGCAGCUAUAAAGGAAAAUAUAAUCCACAGGAUGAAUGGGGCCCAAAUAUUUUCUAAAUAGUUGUCUCAGAGAAAAGUUAAAUACUUACCACAUAUAGGUUAAAUCAGCCAUUCUUUAAAGAACAAAGAAAGUGUUCGUGGUAAACAAGCUCUUAUCAGCAGUGUGAAUGGGUUCACAGACAUACAGCUCCACUUAGGCUGUAUUUGUAAGGAGUGGGAUGUGAAAAAUGGUGAUUGGUAAAUAAUUAUGGAUAAGUUGCAGAUUCUGUUAAUCGGGUGAGAAGACUGACGGUGACAAGUUUAAAAACAGAGGGCGGAGAUGCCAGUGCAUAUACAAAGGUUUUAUUUUGACAGAGCUUAUUCUUAAAACGACAGUAAGACCAACUGGUAAAAACCUGAUAAAA